rnacentral:rRNA from 1 species
CCUACGGGUGGCAGCAGUGGGGAAUAUUGCGCAAUGGGCGAAAGCCUGACGCAGCGACGCCGCGUGAGGGAUGAAGGUCUUCGGAUCGUAAACCUCUGUCAGGAGGGAAGAAGUGGUUAUAUGCGAAUAGUGUAUGACUUUGACGGUACCUCCAAAGGAAGCACCGGCUAACUCCGUGCCAGCAGCCGCGGUAAUACGGAGGGUGCGAGCGUUAAUCGGAAUCACUGGGCGUAAAGCGCGCGUAGGCGGCUUUUCAAGUCAGGGGUGAAAUCCCACGGCCCAACCGUGGAACUGCCUUUGAAACUGUAGAGCUUGAGUGUCGGAGAGGGUGGCGGAAUUCCAGGUGUAGGAGUGAAAUCCGUAGAUAUCUGGAGGAACACCGGUGGCGAAGGCGGCCACCUGGACGACAACUGACGCUGAGGUGCGAAAGCGUGGGUAGCAAACAGGAUUAGAUACCCCAGUAGUC